CCUCUUUUUUUUCAUGUCUCUUACAGAUUACCAACACCCAGUAUUCUGUUGACUUUCGUUAUUCAUUAAAUAUGAAGUUCAAGGUCGAUGUAGCUACAGCUAAUAAAUACACAUUGUGAUUAUGGUUUCAAACCCAAAUAACUUCCAUUGUAAAGCAGUAAGAUUUUGAAAAGGAAAACACUGAAAGAGGCUUCCUGCCUCUGCUGGAUGAUUGAGCAAUUCUAUAUAAGUGGGGUGAAAACAAAGUCACUGCUAUAAUUCAAAUUAUCAGCAUAAUAUGCUGCUUUGUAUUGCUCUGCCUGCACCCUCUUUCUGCAGAGGAACCAAAAUGUCAAGCUCGGGUAACAACCUCUGCUUAUCUCCAGCAAGGUGUUGCAAUAUCUGGACAAACGUCAGAGGGCAGGGAGGUGCCUGCAGGCUGGGAACCUGAAGGUCUUCUGAGCCCCUGAGGCUGCGCAGGGCAAAGAUCGCAUCCAGCACGUCCACUGCUGAGCACACAGGUUGUCAUGUAAACUUAAAGCUUCCAAAGACACUCACAGCAUUUUAAGCUCCCACAGAUUGUUUGAGAAAAGAACUAUGAAGAUUUCCAUGUACCUUUCUUUCGCUUUACAGUCUCGAAACAAACAGCACACAGGAAGGUUAAACCAAGAUAAGGAAGAAAGAAAAUCAACAGAAAUUCCGUUGUUGUUUGCACAAUUCCCAUCUCACAUUUGGAAAGACCACAACUAUUAGAUGUGCCUGUGUGCUUGGAGAGGGUUUGGGGUCUUUGUAGUUUUGGUUUGUUAUUUUUUAGGAAGCCUUAAGCCUCACUGGCUGCCAGCGUGGACUCUGCAAAAACCUCUCAAAAGAACAGAAAACAAUGUCCCACAACUCCCUACUCUUUGGAUUUCGGGGCGGGGGGGGGAGCUGCUUUCAUUGUGUAAGUAGAUAGAAUCAUAGAAGAGUUUGGGUUGGAAGGGACCUUAAAGAUCAUCCAGUUCCAACCCCCUCCCAUGGGCAGGGACACCUCCCACUGGCUCAGGCUGCCCAAGGCCCAUCCAACCUGGCCUUGAACACCUCCAGGGAUGGGGCAGCCACACCUUCCCUGGGCAACCUGGGCCAGAGCCUCACCACCCUCAUGGUGAAGAAAUUCUUCACUAUGUCUAGAUCAUUGGCUACUUUGCCAGAAUGACACAAGACAUUCAGUGAUGCAGAUAAGGCAAAUCUGCUAAGCUUAGGCACCGGAGCACGGAACGCCACAACUAGCAUUUCAGCUCUCCAAGCAAUUUUGUUAUUCCAGUUCUGCAGUAGAUCUUUGAUUUUGCAGAAAGCCUUCUCUCAUUGGAAAUCUACUCAAACUACCAGUUCAGCAGCACCAGCACUGCUGUGGAACAGCAGCAUAGGGAUCUGUUGAUGAAGGUAUGAGAAGGAAGUAUGAUUUUUCACCCCUAGUUGGGGGUAUCUCAGCUGAGAGAGGCUCUGCUGCGAUGGCAGUAGCUAGACAAAGACGAUGUUCUUCCAGGAGCGAAAGCCAAAGUAACCAUCACAGUGCUAAGGGAGGAGACUACAGAUACAUCGGUAAACUUGUUAAAAAUAGAGCACCUGGGACCCUUUAUAGUCAUCCCUAUGCCUGUGUGUAAAUGGUUUUAAUUGUUGUUAUAGUGACACAGAAUUAAAAUGCACUAUACGUUUGUGCGUGAUUGCAUGUAUUUCACCUGCGCUUUUGAACACAACGGGUGUGGAAAGAAAAGUAGUGAGGAAGUUACCCCUGACAUCUGUAAAUAAACAACAGAGAGAGCACAGCUAAUUAAAGUGAACAUAGAAACCCUUAGUCAGGUGAGCAAUCUGUCCCCUGCAAAUCGUUUUAUCGAUGUCAGGUGACACUCCUUCUGUGAGGCAGGAUUAUUGACUUGACCAAGGGCUUGCAGGAUCAGGUCCAAACAUUACUCCAGAAAGAGUCAUCUUAGGUCUUCAAGACUGUCUUAAUUAUUUUGCCCUUUGUAAAGUACCCAUUCAACUGAAAUCUCCUCUGAUAAAUUCAAUUUCUCCUCUGGAUUUUGUAUUGCCUUUCUGUUGGGUUUGAGUUAUUUUCUUGCAGUCAUAGCGACUGGAAGAGUGACCUGAGGUUUAAUUCAGUAACACAAGGUUACCCUCUUGCAAGAAUAGCUUACAUUCCACUCCUAAGCUGUCUGGUUGUAGUUCAUCAUUACAAAGAAUCAGAGUUCAUAUACUGUCUCUCACUGAGUUCAAGCAAUGUCAGUAUAUCACUGUUUCCCUUGAAAUGCUUCGUAUAAGAUUUCAGCAUCAUAUUAUUACAUAAGAAAUGCAGAAAUCUGGCUUGCAGAAGGCUUUAAAGCUUUUAAUGCAGAAAUGACAAAAAAUAAAGUCCUUUUCUUAUAUAAUUUCGAUCGUAUUAUGCCUCUAGAGUGAAAAAGAUGGCUUGUAUUGCAGCAGCGCUUCACACAUAUCAGUCAUGUAUCAUUAUAAUAAAGUCAUAUAACAUAUUCAUGGUUUUCCUGCUGGACUUUUAGCCUUGCUUCAAUCUUAUGCUAUUUUGUUAUUAAUCACACAGCAGUAUAUUUAGAAGAUUGUUACCAAUGCUCAGAUCUUGAUUUCAAUUAAAAAAACCCAAAAGAUUAUCACUUGCUAAACACAGAAAAGAAUUUAGAUCAGAGUUUCAUGUAUCUAAAAUCUACCCAUUUAAGACUGGUGAACAGUGAGGCACUGGUUUAGUAUCAAAAUGAAGACUUAGGAGUGCAGGUAUCAGAGUGGGGAAGGGGUACCUGAAAAUGCAGGGCUUUUUAAUGGUUUUAGAGGAGGGAAAAAAAAUCCCAUCUAGUGUAGAAUGCAUCAGGAAGGAUGAUAAAAUAUCUCAUGGACUGACAACGGGGAGUAGAAGCACGUCCUGCAAAACAAGCAUCUCUGCUGAGGUUCAGGUUCUCCUGGGAGCAGUAAAGCACCAGUCCUGCUGUCUUCCACGAAGGUUUUAUUUAUGGAAACAGGUUGAAAGUGAGAGCUGAGGUCCUUCUAGCAAAGCAUCCCAGCUGUGCCUACGGGCCAAGAAAUGCUGUUUUCUCUUGGAUUCUGCUUAUUCAGGAGCUUUGCUUCCAAUUCACGUGGCAUUUAGUAUCAUUUUUUACAUUGUUGAUUUGCUGGGAGCCAGGGGAUGGUGUUUAAGGUGCUAAAUGCUGUCAUUCUGCCCCAAAUGGAAUGACUCCACAAGUAAACGUGAGCUAACAAAAAUAAAAGUGGAAAAUAUCUCAUAGCACAAGCGGCAAAGCCCCAUUUUCUCCACCACAGUACAGUUUAACAAACAAUCUUGAGUUGUUAUUGUUGAAAACAGUAUCACUGGAGAUGUCUUUAGGAAGCAGGAAGCACUGCAGCAGAUCCACCAUAGAUUUAGGGACAUUCCCAUAAAUACAGCAAUGCAGCUCGAGCAGUUGGAUGAAUGUUUGAGCUGGUGCAUUUUUGCAUGAGUCAUUUGUUUAUUGCCGGCUUUAGCAGAUGAAUCAAUGACCCCGUGUAUCAAAGUCUCCAAUGUUGAUUUGUUUUGUUUUCUUUCCAAAAUGUUAAAUUGAAACCUCUAUUCCAUUCACCAGGUAAUCUUGCAAAUGAUUAACCCCAUGAUCCAUAAUGAAAUAAAUCAUCAACAGCAAACCAGAAAGGUCUUACCAGGAGAAAAAUAAGCGUUUAAUAAAAACCCAAGCAUUAAACACUAAAUUAUUUCUCUCUAAUUUGAGUUGCUGUUUUUUCUAGCUAGAAAAACGUGAUCCCAAAUGAAAAUCGUUCCCAGAAAAGACCAUCAGUAGCCCACGCUGUACUUUAGAAGCUUGAGUUUCUCUCAAAAUUGCAUUUUUACAAGACUGAGUUUCUCUGAAAAUUGCAGACAGCCUCACUGCAAGAAGAGGGGAGAAGAGCAGGACAACAAAUCUGAAAUCUUUCAUGCUUAUAUCAUUUCAGCUCAAUGUAAUUGAUGGCAAACUGACCACAGUGUUCUUACCCCUCCUCCCUCAAUAAUAUUGUUUAAAUUCAGCUAACAUCAGUUCAAAGAAACUGCUCAUAGACUGUUUUUCUGGACUUGUGCAUCAGCUGAACUAAUAAUUUCUUCCCAAAGCCAGCAAGGCUUAUCAGCAGAGUAACCCCAUGAGAGAUUUCAAUGCAUUAUUUUAAAAGAGAGAAUCAGACUCUGAAAAUAUUUUCCUUCUGGGAUCAACUCACUCAUUUUUAUCAACAUAACAAAGAAAACAUUGGCUGUGAGAAAAAACCUUCACUGUUUUACGAACAUAAUAAAUCAGGGCCAGUUGCUUGGCAUUCUAGUUUCACUAAAACAAACCUGCAAACAUUUAAGGUGCCUGUACUCCAAAUAUUCAUUCUUGCAUGCAUGCAGUAAGAUCUAAAGCUCUAAAGUUCUUCUGUUUCUUUCUAUUUGCCCCUUAUAACUAGAAAAGGGUCUGAUCAGGAAUGCCCUGAGUAGAGAUUUCAGUGUCAGCCUUCCCCACUUAACCAUCUCUUCAGGGACAGACAAAAGUCUUGAAAAGUUACGGUAAGGCUCUGGACAGGAGUCAAGUCAGCACUAGUUCUGAUGUUGAAUUCAGGUCUACAUAUAAGUCUCUCCCUUUAAAGCCAAGUGCAGGCUUUUUAAUGAGAUUUUAAUAGAACUAUAGAAUCAUAAAAGAGUUGGGGUUGGAAGGGACCUUAAAGCCCAUCCAGUUCCAACCCCCUGCCAUGGGCAGGGACACCUCCCACUGGCUCAGGCUGCCCAAGGCCCAUCCAACCUGGCCUGGAACACCUCCAGGGAUGGGGCAGCCACAGCUUCCCUGGGCAACCUGGGCCAGGGCCUCACCACCCUCAUGGUCAAGAAAUUCCUCCUUCUGUCCAGCCUAAAUCUGCUCCUCUCCAAUUUAUACCUGUUCCCCCUCAUCCUAUCCCCACAAACCUUUGUGAACAGCCCCUCCUCAGCUUCUUGUAGCCCCUUCAGGUACUGGAAGCUGCUCUAAGGUCUCUUCAGAGCCUUCUCUUCUCCAGGCUGGACAAUCCCAACUCUCUCAGCCUGUCCUGAUACAGGAGGUGCUCCAGCCCUCAGAUCAUCUUUGUAGCCUCCUCUGGACCCGUUCCAACAGCACCAUCUCCUUCUGAUGUUGAGGAUUCCAGAGAUGGACCCAAUCCUACAGAUGAGCAGAAUCUCCUCCCUCGCCCUACUGGCCACAAUGCUUUUGAUGCAGUCUAGGACAGGGUUGGCCUUCUGGGCUGUGAGCGCACGUUGCCGGCUCAUGUUGAGCUUCUCACCAACCAGCACCCUCAAGUCCUUCUCCACAGGGCGGCUCUCAAUCACACUAUUCCCCAUUGGAUGC